ensembl:lncRNA
CUCUGGGGCAAGUGGAGACAGUAAUCUGUUAGACGGGUACUGAUGUUUCAGUUACUGUCUCCUAACAAACACCCUGAGCUGCCCUGGCCCUGAGCUGCCUUGCUUCCACACCUCAUUCCUGGGAGCAUUAACCUCGCUCGGUCCAUGGGGCUCCACCCGGACAGCCUCCUCGACCCUGGCCACCUCAGCCGUCGCCUUCUCCAGACACCUCCUCGGUGCUUCCCGGGCUGCUGGUCCCGGGCUGCUGAUUCAGCUCGGGCCGCGUGGCUUUCUUGGAUCUCGGCCUCCCGUUCCGUUGAGUGGACAAAAAGGUGGAAGGGCUGCGCCAGAAGUCCCGCCCACCGGUGGCGGGGAACGCCCUCUUGGGCCACCAUUGGCCAGCAUCGGCACGUCGCUACGACCGGGAUUCUGGACGGGAGCUGGUGUCCGUCCCGCCGGCGCAGAUGUGGGCGCGAGCUGAUCCCCGGCAGUCCCCGACGGCCCCGGGUGGCUGAGGGGCCUGGCGCCGGGCCUGGUGACACCUGAGGAUGUGGCUGUGCAUUUCUCCCAGGAGGAGUGGAGGCUCCUUAAGUGGCUCAGAGGCACCUGUACCAUGAUGUGAUGCUGGAGAACUUUGUUUUUUUGGUACCUGGGAUCAAACUCAGGACCUUGCACUUGCAAGGCAGGUGCAGGUGGUGGAACCACUGAGCUAAAUGCCUGGUGAUGCCCGAGAACUUUGAGCUCAUUAUCUCACUGGGUAAGUCCUCAUGCACUCCAGCAGUAUACCAACCCCCUCUGCCUCUUCUGCAUGGAAAUUCUCUUCAUUCCAAAGAUGGACCACAGGGUACUUCCUUCCCAGAUUCCCUGUGGUUGAUGUGGAUCCUGGGACUGCCUUGUGUAAGACCGAGGGCCUUACCAAACCCUCCGAGGAGCUGACUGCAGUGAAGAACACCUGGGAAGGAACACACCGGACAAGUUGGAGAGUAAAACAGACCUUAGUCUGGUCAGACGGCACUCCCAAAGCAAAGUAGCUUAGAGAGGCGACUAGCCCAGAGUCCGAGACUCUUUUUAUAGGGGGUUGCAGGGGAAGUUAACAGGUGAAAUUUACAGAAGAGGAACAAAGGUUAGUGGUCAGCUGACACGUACUGAUGGUUAGCAGAUGUUUGUAGAUUGUUCUAUAGAUAGCGGUGUCCGGAACAUCAGUUUCGAACAAAGAGUUGAGUAAUUUACUUUGGGACCUUAUGGCUGAUACAGAUCUUAUCUAGUGUCCAGAACUAACAAGCAUCUUUAUCUAUUUACUCACAUUCACAGUUGGGGCUAGGGGAAUUUUAUGAUUACAGAGUUAUGCAGUCCCACACUUGCCUCCCUGUGAGCAGCUCCCGCUGCUGUUGCCUUCAUAGGGUCAAGUUUGGGGGCCAGGUCUUUUGCAGUGUGUUCAACUAAUCCCACCAGUUUCAAUCUGUCCCUGCUUGAUUGGAGCCAUGGCUCUUCUGUGCUUUUAAGUUGCCCUCUUCCUCCACAAGUCUUUCUCUUUUUCUCCUUGUGCUGGGAAUUGAGCCCAGGGCCGCACUCACACCAGGCAAGUGCUUUACCACUGAGAUGCAUCCCCA